GGGGGUUUAGCUCAGGGGUAGAGCAAUCGGCUGCAGUCCGAUAGGUCAUCGGUUCAAAUCCGGUAGCCCCCU